rnacentral:rRNA from 1 species
AUACGUAGGGGGCGAGCGUUGUCCGGAAUGAUUGGGCGUAAAGGGCGCGUAGGCGGCGCGGUAAGUCUGGAGUGAAAGUCCUGCUUUCAAGGUGGGAAUUGUUUUGGAUACUGCCGCGCUUGAGUGCAGGAGAGGUUAUCGGAAUUCCCGGCGUAGCGGAGAAAUGCGUAGAGAUCGGGAGGAACACCAGUGGCGAAGGCGGGUAACUGGACUGCAACUGACGCUGAGGCGCGAAAGUGUGGGGAGCAAACAGGAUUAGAUACCCUGGUAGUCCACACUGUAAACGAUGAAUGCUAGGUGUAAGAGGUAUCGACCCCUUUUGUGCCGGAGUCAACACAAUAAGCAUUCCGCCUGAGGAGUACGGCCGCAAGGUUGAAACUCAAAUGAAUUGGCGGGG